UAAAAAAGAGAAGCUCAUCAAAGGCGUUAAACUUGGUGUACUUAGCGGGUAGGUCUGAGAAUAUGCUACAUCUAUUUCUUAUACCCCUAAAUGUUAGGAGUGGUCUACCCCAUAUAUUACAUUUUUUUCUUUUUUGGACAAAUUUUUUUGGUUUUUUUUACACAAUUCAUCAUUAAAUAAAUUAGCUUCUACAAUAAAUGUUCACCCUUAAACGAUCAACCCUGAUUUUUAAUCUCAAUUUUUAUAUUAUUCGGUUCCAUCCACUGAUGCACAAGAUGGCAAUAGAAUAUAAUAACUGUAUUGUAGUAUACUAUAAUUCGCAUGUAUGGUGUUAUUAAUCAAUCAGUUAUCACCGCCAGGUAUCUCCCGUUGUCAUUUCUGAACCAGCCAACAUUACGGAGUAGAGUUUGUGUUUCGAUCCUAGCAGUUACUGUUAUACGUUUCAUUUUAAUUUUUACUGCAUUUCUCAAGUUAAUUUUAUUCUCCUAGUGAAUUUAACAUUAUUUCUUAGUGCAAAAAAUAUCGAUAUCGCAAACAUACACUUUUAAUACUUAUAUUAAUGUUAAGUUCUGCAGUUCGGCGAAGAGCAUCAAAUAUAUUUGUAGACAGACACUUCCCGUUAUCCCACAUUCAACGCACGCAGAUUCAUCUGCAAAAACUUUCGCAAAACAACUGUUGAGUAUUGGCGAUGGAAAAGUUGAUGUACAUGAAAAUACUGGGUGCAAAAACUGACGUAUUUCUGCACAAUCAUCAACCAUUCUCAUAGACAAUAUAUUUCCCAAAAUAGAAAAAUCUUUAGUGGCCGGCAGAAAGAGCGAUUAUGGCAGCAAAAAGUUUGGACGUCAAUGGAUUAAAUUUAAAGAUUCGACAGUUGUUGCCAGGGAUCUUGGUGUCAUACAAAUUUAUCGAUGUUGUUUGCGACGCCAACGAAGCUGUGAAUUAUCCGAUUUAAUAAUUUUUGAAUACAUCACAUAUGCCGAGCAUGCUACUGCACCAUUUACAACUGAAGGUUGGAUCUCCGGUUAUUUUGCUACGUAUUUUAACCUACCACGGCUUAGCAACAUCACAAGUUUAGUCAUUAAAAACUUAAUAAAAAACAUUAAUUGAAGCCACCAUUUUGAAUGAUUGGUAUUCGCAAGGACGAUCAAUAACUCCCAAGCCCAAUAUUUUCCCACGUACAACUUUAUGUGGCAUGUUCUCACGCGGACAAAGCAUCCAGUUUAUUUGCCAAAGAUGGGCUGACCAAAAAUAUUGUAAAUUGUGUUGAGAGAUUAAUAUUUGUUUAUUUUUAAUUGCCAUCAUUAGUAGUAGAAAUAUGAAAUAUGAACUAUUUUCAAUGUACUCGUAUAUAUGUAUAUGUAGCUAUCGAUAAUUGUAAUGAUGAUUAAAUAAAUAAAUUAAUUCAUUAAUAAAAAAAU